GCGGGUGUGGCGGAAUCGGUAGACGCACCGGACUUAAAAUCCGUUGGGCUUUUUGCCUGUGGGGGUUCAAGUCCCCCCACCCGCACCA
rnacentral:tRNA from 1 species